rfam:Camelus ferus unplaced genomic scaffold scaffold711, whole genome shotgun sequence.
GAGGGUAUAGCUCAGUGGUAGAGAGCAAGCUUAGCAUGCUUGAGGUCCUGGGUUCAAUUCUCAGAACCUCCA